rfam:Triticum aestivum genome assembly, contig: Triticum_aestivum_CS42_TGACv1_scaffold_404924_5BL
CAGGUACUCCCUCGGAGGAAAAUACUUGUCGGAGAAAUAGGUAAAAAUGGAUGUAUCUAGAACUAAAAUGCGUCUAGAUACAUCCAUUUCUCCGACAAGUAUUUCCGGACGGAGGGAGUAUCAU